UACGUAGGAUGCAAGCGUUAUCCGGAAUGAUUGGGCGUAAAGCGUCCGCAGGUGGCUAUGUAAGUCUGCUGUUAAAGAGUGAGGCUCAACCUCAUAAGAGCAGUGGAAACUACAUAGCUGGAGUGCGUUCGGGGCAGAGGGAAUUCCUGGUGUAGCGGUGAAAUGCGUAGAUAUCAGGAAGAACACCGGUGGCGAAAGCGCUCUGCUAGGCCGUAACUGACACUGAGGGACGAAAGCUAGGGGAGCGAAUGGG
rnacentral:rRNA from 1 species